AUUCAGUUUAGGGUUUAAAACCCUAAUGCUGAGUGAAGGGAAAAAUUCAGUUUAGGGUUUAAAACCCUAAUGCUGACUGAAUGGAAAAGUUCAGUUUAGGGUUUAAAACCCUAAUGCUGAUUAAAGGAAAAAAGUUCAGUUUAAGGCUUAAAACCCUAAUGCUGACUGAAUGGAAAAAGUUCAGUUUAGGGUUUAAAACCCUAAUACUGAUAAAAGGAAAAAGUUCAGUUUAGGGUUUAAAACCCUAAUGCUGACUGAAGGAAAAAGUUCAGUUUAGGGUUUAAAACCCUAAUGCUGACUAAAGGGAAAAAGUUCAGUUUAGGGUUUAAAACCCUAAUGCUGACUAAAAUGGAAAAAGUUCAGUUUAGGGUUUAAAACCCUAAUGUUGACUGAAGAAAAGAGUUCAGUUUAGGGUUUAAAACCCUAAUGUUGACUGAAGAAAAGAGUUCAGUUUAGGGUUUAAAACCCUAAUGCUGACUAAAGGAAAAAGUUCAGUUUAGGGUUUAAAACCCUAAUGCUGACUGAAUGGAAAAAGUUCAGUUUAGGGUUUAAAACCCUAAUGCUGACUAAAAUGGAAAAAGUUCAGUUUAGGGUUUAAAACCCUAAUGCUGAUUAAAGGAAAAAGUUCAGUUUAGGGUUUAAAACCCUAAUGCUGAUUAAAGGAAAAAGUUCAGUUUAGGGUUUAAAACCCUAAUGCUGACUAAAGGAAAGAGUUCAGUUUAGGGUUUAAAACCCUAAUGCUGACUGAAUGGAAAAAGUUCAGUUUAGGGUUUAAAACCCUAAUGCUGACUGAAGGAAAGAGUUCAGUUUAGGGUUUAAAACCCUAAUGCUGACUGAAUGGAAAAAGUUCAGUUUAGGGUUUAAAACCCUAAUGCUGACUGAAUGGAAAAAGUUCAGUUUAGGGUUUAAAACCCUAAUGCUGAUUAAAGGAAAAAGUUCAGUUUAGGGUUUAAAACCCUAAUGCUGACUAAAGGAAAGAGUUCAGUUUAGGGUUUAAAACCUAAAACCCUAAUGCUGACUGAGAGGAAAAAGUUCAGUUUAGGGUUUAAAACCCUAAUGCUGAUUGAAGAAAAGAGUUCAGUUUAGAGUUUAAAACCCUAAUGCUGACUGAAGGGAAAAAUUCAGUUUAGGGUUUAAAACCCUAAUGCUGACUAAAGGAAAGAGUUCAGUUUAGGGUUUAAAACCCUAAUGCUGACUGAAGGAAAGAGUUCAGUUUAGGGUUUAAAACCCUAAUGCUGACUGAAGAAAAGAGUUCAGUUUAGGGUUUAAAACCCUAAUGCUGACUAAAGGAAAGAGUUCAGUUUAGGGUUUAAAACCCUAAUGCUGACUAAAGGAAAAAGUUCAGUUUAGGGUUUAAAACCCUAAUGCUGACUAAAGGAAAGAGUUCAGUUUAGGGUUUAAAACCCUAAUGCUGACUGAAUGGAAAAAGUUCAGUUUAGGGUGUAAAACCCUAAUGUUGACUGAAGGAAAGAGUUCAGUUUAGGGUUUAA
rnacentral:lncRNA from 1 species